UGAACCGAUUUUGAUAAUUCUUUUUUUGUUGGAAAGGGGAUAUCCCUGGUUUUGGUACCAUGAUAAGGAAACCAGGAUCUGAUGAUGGGAUCCCAGAGAAAUCGAGGGAAACUUUCAAAAAUCGUAAGGGUGACUAGUAAAUUUAAUCAUGCUUUCAUUAAGUACUAUAAAGCACUACUAUUUAAUAAAGGUCUGGAGUCGAUCUGAUGAUGGAGAAGAAAGAUAGUCGAGGGAACU
rnacentral:misc_RNA from 1 species